GUGGGGAAUUUUGGACAAUGGGCGCAAGCCUGAUCCAGCAAUGCCGCGUGCAGGAAGAAGGCCUUCGGGUUGUAAAUUGCUUUUGUACGGAACGAAAAGGCUCUGGUUAAUACCUGGGGCUCAUGACGGUACCGUAAGAAUAAGCACCGGCUAACUACGUGCCAGCAGCCGCGGUAAUACGUAGGGUGCAAGCGUUAAUCGGAAUUACUGGGCGUAAAGCGUGCGCAGGCGGUUUUGUAAGACAGACGUGAAAUCCCCGGGCUCAACCUGGGAAUGGCGUUUGUGACUGCAAAGCUGGAGUGCGGCAGAGGGGGAUGGAAUUCCGCGUGUAGCAGUGAAAUGCGUAGAUAUGCGGAGGAACACCGAUGGCGAAGGCAAUCCCCUGGGCCUGCACUGACGCUCAUGCACGAAAGCGUGGGGAGCAAACAGGAUUAGAUACCCGAGUAGUCC
rnacentral:rRNA from 1 species